CCUAACACAUGCAAGUCGAACGGUAACAGGAAGAAGCUUGCUUCUUUGCUGACGAGUGGCGGACGGGUGAGUAAUGUCUGGGAAACUGCCUGAUGGAGGGGGAUAACUACUGGAAACGGUAGCUAAUACCGCAUAACGUCGCAAGACCAAAGAGGGGGACCUUCGGGCCUCUUGCCAUCGGAUGUGCCCAGAUGGGAUUAGCUAGUAGGUGGGGUAACGGCUCACCUAGGCGACGAUCCCUAGCUGGUCUGAGAGGAUGACCAGCCACACUGGAACUGAGACACGGUCCAGACUCCUACGGGAGGCAGCAGUGGGGAAUAUUGCACAAUGGGCGCAAGCCUGAUGCAGCCAUGCCGCGUGUAUGAAGAAGGCCUUCGGGUUGUAAAGUACUUUCAGCGGGGAGGAAGGGAGUAAAGUUAAUACCUUUGCUCAUUGACGUUACCCGCAGAAGAAGCACCGGCUAACUCCGUGCCAGCAGCCGCGGUAAUACGGAGGGUGCAAGCGUUAAUCGGAAUUACUGGGCGUAAAGCGCACGCAGGCGGUUUGUUAAGUCAGAUGUGAAAUCCCCGGGCUCAACCUGGGAACUGCAUCUGAUACUGGCAAGCUUGAGUCUCGUAGAGGGGGGUAGAAUUCCAGGUGUAGCGGUGAAAUGCGUAGAGAUCUGGAGGAAUACCGGUGGCGAAGGCGGCCCCCUGGACGAAGACUGACGCUCAGGUGCGAAAGCGUGGGGAGCAAACAGGAUUAGAUACCCUG
rnacentral:rRNA from 1 species